rnacentral:rRNA from 1 species
GCCUACGGGGCGCAGCAGUGAGGAAUAUUGGUCAAUGGGCUUACGCCUGAACCAGCCAAGUCGCGUGAGGGAAGACUGCCCUAUGGGUUGUAAACCUCUUUUGUCAGGGAGCAACGCCGGCUACGUGUAGCCGGACUGAGAGUACCUGAAGAAAAAGCAUCGGCUAACUCCGUGCCAGCAGCCGCGGUAAUACGGAGGAUGCGAGCGUUAUCCGGAUUUAUUGGGUUUAAAGGGUGCGUAGGCGGGUUAUCAAGUCAGCGGUAAAAUCGUGGAGCUCAACUCCAUCCAGCCGUUGAAACUGAUGA